rnacentral:tRNA from 1 species
GAAAUAUAAAAUUUAUAAUCAAGCUUCUAACUUGAUUCUUAGUGGUUAAAUUCCAUUAAUAUUUCU